GUGUCACAACCCUAAAAAUAUACAUGAUAUUUUAAAAUCUUUCGUCACAACUAACCCAGGAUCCAAACACACAUUUGAGGUCACUAAGAAAACAUUCAAAUCAAAAAUUUCGCUUCUAUAAUCUACCAAUUCAUAUCCCUGUGCAAUUCAUAAACAUAGCACACAUCACUCGAAAAUUUAUACCAUCUGAACCCGACUCAUCAAAAUAAAAA
rnacentral:lncRNA from 1 species